AUUUUAAAAUGUUGGUCCCUUUCCCUCAAUAAUUUGUUUUCUUGGAUUUAAUCUUAAAGGUCCAAUCAAAGCUGUGGUUUUCCUGGUCAGAGAGAAGCUGGGCAUCAGAAAAUUUUGGUUCAAAUAGCUCCUGUACUUCUUACUGGUUGUGUGACUUAGCAUGAAACACUUUGAAAUUGAUUUGGUUUUGAGAUUUGAGAAUUUUGAAAUACUUGCAAUGGAAGCUUCAGAUGGAUGGAUUACCAGCCCUUGAUGUAUGUGGAUCUGUGAUAUCAUUUCUUCCACACAACAGGAGCAGAGUCACCACUGGGCAGUUCAGGCUCCACUCCCUCUGCCAAGGCCACUGUGUCAUCCAAGCUCUGUCUCAGGGCAACUUCCUUCAAGGUCACACAAAGAUGGAUGCUCCUCUAACCUGCUGCAAAUCUCCGCCCAGUUGUCGGCAUUGCAAGUUGCCUCCCGAUCUGUUAAAAUAAUCUGCUAAUAAACACGAAGACCCAAAUUCCGGGCA
rnacentral:lncRNA from 1 species